UCUAAAUGUUGUUGGAGAUGGAGAAGUUAUUCUCAAAUUUAUCCAAGUAUGUGGGAAAUAAUAGCUGCUGGUAUACAAGUGUACAGUACUUGAUAAAGGAAGAAGAUGAAUUUAAAACUAAAGGCUAUGUUUUCAACAUUUUGGGAGGAAAUUGCCUGUUUGGAGGGAAAAAGUAUGUCGCAUCCACCUCUUAUACGGUAAAGCAAAUAUUACAGACUGGCCACCCUUGUACCGUAACUGGGCCACAAAUAUAUACUGUUUGUUGCCUGGUAUUCUAAAAAUCAGAGAAAUUUUAGACAAAAUACAAAUGUUUCAGAAAACUGUGAAGAAAAAGUAAAUCAGAAAAUAUAGCAAUACUGGACGCUCAUCCCCAGAUGGCCACAGUUGGCGUGAAUAGAGGAGUGGUGGCCCCCUGGUGCUCUGCAGUUUGGCACAAUUCUUCCUACCUCCUGUUCUAUGCCAGCUUGUCUCAUGCAUUUAUAUGAAUGGCUCCAGUCCUGUAGGCAUUUGAAAUUAAAACCUCCAGAUGGAUCAAGAGUUAGAUAUAAAAGAUAAAAUCAUGAAAUAAAUGAGAAGAAAACACCGGUGAAUGUUGAACUGGUUCUUAUGAAUUGGCCUGAGCCAAUCUUAUUUGGGGCAACUCUUGAGCUGUUUUGUUAAUUAAUAGUAGUCUCCAAGAGCCGGAAGUGGGUGAGGAUUAACGACUUCCCCACAACCCCUAUCAGGUUAUAAAGAAAGCCAUUUUCAGAACAAAUUCCUCUGCACGUGCAACCAUUUAUCAAAUUAUUAGUAGUAGGCAAAACACUUCACCAGAGAUCAAAUCUUGGUGCCACCCCUGGGCAAAUAGGACUCAGGGGUCCCUCGAUUCUGGGGUACUGUUCGAGCAAGAGCAGAAGGCAUCUCUGAAAAUUUUACCCCAUGUCAUUUAGUUCCACCAACAAGAAUCCAUCUCACCAACACGAAGCCUUUUCUACCAUUUAUUUAUUGACUAGCAGAACAUCUGGUGGUGAGCAGAGAGGGACUAGCCGAAGCGCUCCUCUGUCCUCUUUGGAGUGUGGCCCUUCAGGCUGGAAGCUGCUCACCGUUUGCGGGGGGGAGGGUCCUGGUUACAGCAGGGACCACACGGAGCACGGGGCCUACCCCGAGGAGCACCCACUGACAGCCCACUGCCCACGCCAACAUCUUUUAAUGUGAAUGACUGACAUAGUACUGUCCUUUGUAGACAUGCACCUCCCAACCAUGAAAGAAAUGGAAAGCACUGCAGAGGAGAGGACAAUAUUGGGGACCACCAGGACGGAAAGCUUCUGUACAGCCAAAAUAUUGUAAGUGGGAGCUGAAAAACUUUUGGAAAUACAAGUAUCAACUAUUUCCUACGUGAAAUGGACAUUAUGUUCAUUAUACACACACAGGUGCAUAUGUGUGCCCAUUCACAGAUUACACACAUACGUGUUUCUCUUCUCUUCUUUGUCUUUGUGGGCUACCUCAUGACGCGAGAGUGAUCCCACGGUCCUCCCGAGGGGUGCAGGUGCACGUGCUUACUCCGCAGGCAGCAGAUCUUGCCCUCUGCAUGCUCAUCUCCGGGCUGCUGCUGCUGCUGCUGCUGCUGCCGCCGCCGCUGAUGAUUCGAGUGCUUCUCCACUGGCCACGGACCGUCUACCCAUCACCACUGAAGAAACCCCAUCCUCACCUCAGCCAGAGAAAACUCUCAUGCAGCCCAAUUCCCCGCCACUCCCUCCGGAGGUGCCUGCCUUGACCUGGGAGGACGCUCAACUGCUGUCCUGGGUACUGAAGCUCAAGAACGUGGCUUAUCUUUCCUCAUGGUUGUUGCUGGCUGCACCUCCCACAACAAACCGAAUUCCCAGCAGCCACCAUUUCCUGUUCCUCAGCUGCAUCUAUCUACGAGGAGGAUUCCAGACUGAUCUUACAGACACCGUCCUCCCAUCUGGUCUACUUUUCUCUUAGACGCUGGACCUAUUCGCAGGCCGGGGCUAAGAUCAGAUCAUGCCUGGAAUAUGGUUAUUAAGGUCAAAUGACUGUCAUGACUCAUUUUCAAAUUCUCAUACUUUCAUUUUUUGCUUUUUAUUGCCACAAAUCAAAAGCACUUUUUGAGUCCCUGAUGGGAAGAGAAGAAAACAGAUGAAAGCAAGGACUGUGAUGUGGAGGUGUGCCUUUCCCUCUUGUCACCACCUGGCAGGAGUGAAUAGGCCAAUGCAGGUGUAACCAGGGCUGAGGUUUCUGAGCUAGUCUUUGAGGAAGGCAUUCCCUUGCUUUGUAUUAGACUUCUUAAAAAUGUCUCUUUAAUCAUCCAGGUCUAAGGCAAAAACCUCCCUGUGAAUCGAUAGAAAAAAGAUAUAUAUAGGUCUCUGGCCCUGGUUCCUGUACAAUGCUCCUAAAAUCCCUAUAAUUCCCGAGGUGACAAGAACACUAGGAACGUCUUUUGUUCUAAUAUUUGAUGUUUAAACCCCUGUGUCUGACAGACUUCCUAAAUCCCUUGAAAUUUCCUUGGUGACAGUGGUGUUUUUUAUUCUAAUGGGGUGACUCUCUAUGGGCUCCAGGAUGGGGAAUGGUCACCAGAAAGAUCAAGACAUGAGGAGAAGCUUGGAGCUUUUGGCCCAGUCCCCUAUCCUUCAGGAAGGGAGGAAGGAGCUGGAAAUUGAGUAAAUUAUGAUCUCGCCUACAUGAUGGAGCCUUCUUAAGAAUCCCAAAACUAUCAGGUUCGGGGAGCUUCCAGGUCCCUGAACACAUAGAAGUGUUGGGAAGGUGGUAUGCCCCGAGAGGCCAUGGACUCUCUGUGCCCCCUCCCACAUGACUUUCCCUAUGCAUCUCUUCCCUCUGGGUGCUCAUUCUUUAUCAUAUCCUUUUAUAACAAACUGGUCAACAGUAAGUAGACUGUUUUCCUGAGUUCUGUGAGCUGUUCUAGCAAAUUAAUUGAACCUGAGGAGGGUAUAAUGGUGUAGGAGUGCUGACAAUGACUGACUCCAUCUUUGGCUCUCCACCUUGUUCAUGUUUGCUCAGUGACAUCCCUUGGGGCUAUUUGUUCCGGGCCCCUGGAGAUUAAUAUACAUACUUCAGAAAUGCCCACCAAGGCCAGGAUGGGGGUGGAGGGAGACUUGUCUUGGCCUCCCAGGAGUCUGUUAGGGAUAACAUGGUCUUGCCCUUCCUGACUCACAGGUGGUGCUGCAAGAUCUAACUGAAGAGUAGCUGUUGGUCAGAUGCAUGCACCCCCCUUAGGUGUGUGCAAACCCUUUGAUCUCACUACAACAUCCUUCUGCGUGGCCCCUCACUCUAUAACAUCUGUGGACUACGUCCCGACUUUUGCAGGGAAAAACUGUGCAGCCGCCACGCAUCAUUCUCUCCCCACUCCUCGCUGUCAGUAAGCAAGUCACCUUGUAGGGAGUGGCCUGCUUCGUUUCUGGUCUCAAAGUGCCUUUUCAGUCUGGGGGAUACUUGACUGUUUCCCCUCCACCUUCUAACACAUGGGAACCUCCGGGUCAUAGCUGAUUGGCCUGAAGUACAUCUUGAGACACAGCCCUAGCCUGAAGGAUCUAAUGCUUUCUCCAGACGGGGACCCCCCAGUACAAUGCUGAAGAGAGGUGGUAAUAGCAGUCUUUAGCUGAAAAGUCAUCUACAUAUAAUAAGGAAGAGGUUUUGAAAACUCCCUGAGGAUCACAUAAAGCACCACCAUGAAGGAGGAGAAGAAUAAUUCCUAGAAAUCACGCAGGUUUGGAAAUUGUUCAUGUUCCUACCUGAAAAUGUGUGAAGAUCAUAUAAUACAAGGCUCAUCUGAUAGAAUUCUCAAGAGUAUUA